AUGUAUUUGUGGACAGUACAUCUGGCAAGUCAUCGAUAUCCAAAAUGUAAAUGAAACUCAAAUAGCAGUAAGAAAACAGCCCAAUUUGAAAAGAGACAAAGGAUCUGAAUGGACAUUUCUCAAAGGAAGACAUGCAAAAUACCAGAUCACUCCACAGUCAUGCUCAUCAUGUAUGCUCCACCACGUCUUUGACUCACACACAGAAUGAAAUCAAGUUAACAGACUGUCUGGUAUUCAGCGGGGGCUCAGUCAAUGUGAAAGAAAUGAAUUCUCCACACCCCACAGACGCGGACGCUGGGGCUCAGAGAGGUAGAGAGACUUGUCCACGGUGGAAAGGCAAACCCUGA
rnacentral:lncRNA from 13 species